GAUGAACGCUGGCGGCGUGCCUAACACAUGCAAGUCGAGCGAUCUUCUUCGGAAGAGAGCGGCGGACGGGUGAGUAACGCGUGGGUAACCUGCCCUGUACACACGGAUAACAUACCGAAAGGUAUGCUAAUACGAGAUAAUAUACUUUUAUCGCAUGGUAGAAGUAUCAAAGCUCCGGCGGUACAGGAUGGACCCGCGUCUGAUUAGCUAGUUGGUAAGGUAACGGCUUACCAAGGCGACGAUCAGUAGCCGACCUGAGAGGGUGAUCGGCCACAUUGGAACUGAGACACGGUCCAAACUCCUACGGGAGGCAGCAGUGGGGAAUAUUGCACAAUGGGCGAAAGCCUGAUGCAGCAACGCCGCGUGAGCGAUGAAGGCCUUCGGGUCGUAAAGCUCUGUCCUCAAGGAAGAUAAUGACGGUACUUGAGGAGGAAGCCCCGGCUAACUACGUGCCAGCCGCCGCCGUAA
rnacentral:rRNA from 1 species